AGCUGUUCCUUCGUCCAGCAGUCGUUUCUGUACAGGGCUGUGUGUGCUGGACGCUGAGACACGGUUGGUGCCAACCUGCUGCAGACUCUCAGCGCCGUGUGGGGAGCAGCGCUCAAACACACACGCUGACGGCUGUUUAGUGCCUGUCCUGUGAGUGCCGUGAGAGCAGAGGGAGCCUGAAACCGGACUGGGGAACACCAAACCUGGACAGACACAGCUGCAUCCCAGACGGAGAGAGAACCGAAAAUGUCAGUCAGCUCUCUUCAACUUCAUCUACAAACUUGCCAGCGUCAUAUUCAAAGCUACAACUCGUCCUUCCACAGGCCCCAGGAAGCUGUUCGUCAGUUCUUCCAGAAGCGCAAAGGAAUUAAGAAGAUGCAUUAACUAUUAGGAUCAAGACGAGAAAUCCCUCUACCUCCAUACUUCAUGUUAAUCAGUAAUGGCACCUGUUACUGUAGCAAAUGUCUGGGAUAAUUAAGUUAUAAAGAGAUGUUUACUUUG